rnacentral:tRNA from 1 species
UUUGCUGUGGUGCAAUGGCAGCACGCCUGGUUUUGGUCCGGGUAGUAGUGGUUCGAAUCCAUUCAGGAAAA